GACGCUGUGGUGGAGUGGUUAACACGCUGGCCUGCUAAGCCAGUUCCUUACAGGAGCCUGGGUUCAAAUCCCAGCGGCGUCG
rnacentral:tRNA from 1 species